rnacentral:tRNA from 1 species
GCGAAAGUGGUGAAAUCGGUAAACACGCCGGACUUAGAAUCCGGUGGGCGCGUCCCUUAGGGGUUCGAGUCCCCUCUUUCGCACCA